rnacentral:rRNA from 1 species
CGUACACUCCUACGGGAGGCAGCAGUGGGGAAUAUUGCACAAUGGGCGCAAGCCUGAUGCAGCCAUGCCGCGUGUAUGAAGAAGGCCUUCGGGUUGUAAAGUACUUUCAGCGGGGAGGAAGGCAAUACGGUUAAUAACCGUGUUGAUUGACGUUACCCGCAGAAGAAGCACCGGCUAACUCCGUGCCAGCAGCCGCGGUAAUACGGAGGGUGCGAGCGUUAAUCGGAAUUACUGGGCGUAAAGCGCACGCAGGCGGUCUGUCAAGUCGGAUGUGAAAUCCCCGGGCUCAACCUGGGAACUGCAUUCGAAACUGGCAGGCUUGAGUCUUGUAGAGGGGGGUAGAAUUCCAGGUGUAGCGGUGAAAUGCGUAGAGAUCUGGAGGAAUACCGGUGGCGAAGGCGGCCCCCUGGACAAAGACUGACGCUCAGGUGCGAAAGCGUGGGGAGCAAACAGGAUUAGAAACCCGAGUAGUCCC